UUGCCUACAUUGUUCAAGUGCU
rnacentral:sRNA from 1 species